UCUUGUCCAAGUGAAGUGAGCACCACUGCUGCAGAGAGAGAGAUCGAGAUGGCAGCGUCCAUGAUCACGUCGCCUCUGGUGGCGCCGACGAGCCUGCCGUCGCUGUCGCGGCGGGGCUCCAACUUCGCCGUCGUCUGCAGCGGCGGCAAGAAGAUCAAGGUCGACAAGCCCCUCGGUGAGAGCUAUAUACCCAGCCAGGCUUCCCGUGACAUCUUUGUUUAAUACUCCCUCAGUCCAUUCAAAUUUAACCAAAUAUGAAUGCAUUUACGUCUAAAAAAUGCUAGAUACAUCUAACAAUUUUGUCCAAAUAUGAUUGUAUUUACGUCUAAAAAAUGGUUAAAUACAUCUAAUAGAAAGUUACUUAAUAUGGGACGGAGGGAAUACUCUCUUCGAUCCUAAAUUGUUUUCAUUAUUUUAGUUCAACGGGGGAGUAUUAAUCAAUCCGAUGUGAAUUCAUUCUUGGUUUGGUUUGGUUUUAUUAAUCAUCCAAUGAGACUAAUUGUUUGUUUUUGUGCAGGGAUCGGAGGUGGCUUGACGGUGGACAUCGACGCCAACGGCAGGAAGGGCACGGUUAGAUUGAUGCUUCCCAAACACUUCCUCUCUUUUUUCUUGUUACACGUACACCUGCACAUGUACUGUGUGUGCGAGUUCACUAUACAGACAAACUAGCUAGCUAGAAACAAAUAGAUUUUGUGGAUAGUUUGCAAGUUCGCAUAUUACUACUUCAAAUAUACACGAUUUUGAACAAGCGGUCAGUGAAUUGGUCUGACCGUAAAAUCUUCUUCUCUUCAUGCAGGGAAAGGGUGUGUACCAGUUUGUUGACAAGUACGGCGCCAACGUCGACGGCUACAGGUAAACUAUAUACGUACUCCUGAGAUGUAUAUGAGCCAGAUCCGGAUUUUUUUUUUGAGAAUAAGAGCCAGAUCCGGAUGAAAGAUUAGUACGGAGUACUUAAUUUGGCCCAU
rnacentral:lncRNA from 1 species